UGACGCGGCUCAUUUUCGGGCGUGCGACAAUUAUGAACCCUGUUUUGACAAUUGUAGUAUUGGUAAAUAAGGUUCGAUCAAUCCGGGUGCUCCUGCGUUUACAAAGCUAAACAAAUUAGAGUUUAACUUCAGAGUUAUUUACAGAAUAUAAACAGCAAUUACAUUUACAUGAUUUCAGGGGGGAUUUUGGGGUUUGUUCUAACAUUCCUACGAAAACAAUAAAGAAACAUGUCAUGUACAAGUGACCAUCUUCCACACACACACAACCUUCAAACAACAAGUAUGAAUCGAUAUAUUAUCAUGUGAAUAAUAAAAAUGUUGUCAAGCAAGAUAUGUCAAUGAACCCGAAACACAAGCUUGAAGAAGUCAUUGUAUUCCAUCGAAUUCUACUUAAUCGUCUACAUUGGAGAAGUCCUAACACGUAGACAAUCUCAUAUAAAGGCUGCGAUCGAUGCGAAGGCACCCGUCCACACAAUAUACAAAUCAUUAAGAACUAAAGAAUUAUGAGUUCAAAUGCACCACGAGUUUACUUGAAGAAGCUUAACUCCCAGAUGCAUAACAUAUAGUCUCGGUCAUUAGGCAUAGCCUUCACUACUUUUAGAUCUAUACUUACUUGAAGAGGCUUAGUACAAAUCUUAGCAAUCACCAAUCCUGCAGAAUCGGUUUAGUAUAUAACAUGUAACUAUAUGCUUAACAAUUCGCAUGACAAACAAAUAAAACCAUUCACAAUCAUCCAACAUAUCACAUCAUACUUAUUUAUUUAAAAGAAUAACAAGUUCAAACCAUACAACCAUGCAACUUUGAUUUCGAAUUUAAAGUUAACGCAAGAAAAGAGAACAUGCAUGUUGUUACACUUUUUCGAUGAUCUUCAAGGGCCAGUUGAUGAUGACGCAAGUGCUCCUCAGCUUCAAGAUCUCGGCUGCAGCUUGGAGAAGUCCGAAGGCUGCUCUCCAACGUUGGCUUCUCGGCUUCUAGAUGCACACGGCUACAGGAAGAAAGAUGCUAUUGUUUUUGUGUGAUUUGUGC
rnacentral:lncRNA from 1 species